rnacentral:ribozyme from 1 species
UGCCCAGCAACCCCUAUCCUUACCACCUCGUGGUACUGGCCGGGAUAUGAGUAUCAUUGGGAAGAUCUGGUAACCAACCCCGGUGGGAACUUUGGUCGUAUGCUAACAGGGAAGG